CCUACGGGUGGCAGCAGUGGGGAAUAUUGCGCAAUGGGCGAAAGCCUGACGCAGCGACGCCGCGUGAGGGAUGAAGGUCUUCGGAUCGUAAACCUCUGUCAGGGGGGAAGAAGUGUUUAUAUUCGACUAGUGUAUGCCUUUGACGGUCCCUCCAAAGGAAGCACCGGCUAACUCCGUGCCAGCAGCCGCGUUAAUCCGGAGGGUGCGAGCGUUAAUCGGAUUUACUGGGCGUAAGGCGCUCGUAGGCGGUAUGUCAAGUCAAGGGUGAAAUCCCCGCGCUCAACGUGGGAACUGACUUUGAAACUGGCAAAUUGGAGUGUGUGAGAGGAGAGUGGAAUUCCAGGUGUAGGAGUGAAAUCCGUAGAUAUCUGGAGGAACAUCAGUGGCGAAGGCGACUAUCUGGCACAUAACUGACGCUGAGGAGCGAAAGCGUGGGUAGCAAACAGGAUUAGAGACCCCGGUAGUC
rnacentral:rRNA from 1 species